UUCACUUCCUGUUUCUGUUCUUAAAAUCAGUGGGUGGAGCUCCGCUUUAUUUUCUCCCUCACAUGUUAAAACACAUUAACAGAGACACAAACCUGAGGAAAGAAUAUCCCUGAGAUAAAUAUUGAUUUCAUGAAUAUAUUUGGAAAACAGCUCAAUGACGAAUACAUUUUCUCUCUGAGAGUAAACAUUUGUCUUAACCUGCCUCUGUGAAGCUGUGAUCAUUUGAACCUGCUCGCUCUCCUGUAAAAUAUUUUACGAUCAAACGGGGAAAUUACAAACGCAGAUUUUUCUCCUGCGCAGAGGAACAGUUGAACUCUCACUGCUGAAAUAAAUCACUGCUGAACACGAGCGGCUUUUUCUGUGACAGAUAGAAACACAGAAAGAGAAAAGUUGUGACAGCAGGAGGCCGUUCAUCCCCCUCCAGGCUCUGUGGGUGGAGGCUCAGAGCUGUCAACAUCUUGUGACAUUUCCUGCCAACGUUUCCUGGUGAAGAGGAAUCCCUAAACUGAACCAACAGAUCUGAGCGCCCGUCUCAACCGUACCAGCUGAGUCUUGAUUUAGUCAGACGAUGAUUUCUCUUCCCUGUGCACACUGGAGCCGAUCGUCCUCACUCCCGGAGACCAGACCCAGAGACCAGACCCAGCUCUGACCGGAUCCCGUCUGCUAACAUCAUUAUCUGGUCGUUGUACAGUUUUCAGACCCUCAGCACCUCCUCCCCUCUCCUCUGGAGGAGGCUCGAAGCUGAAACGUCGGUGGAGGUGAAGAGGUUGAUGUUGUGCAGAGGGGGAGGUUUUACCAGAGAGAGGAAGAACAGAGGGAUGGAGGGAAGUGUGGACCCUGAGUCAAACUCCAGUUAUAACAGAAAACCUUUGGUGUGGUCGUGUCACUUCAGAGAUUUAAACAUUAACAUGUCUCAGGCUGCUGCUAAACAACCUGUGAUGAUUAAAACCUCCUGCACACUGAGCCAGUGGUUUCAGCCCAGCUGCUGGUUUUCACUGCUUCUCUGUCUCUAACAUACAACAGUUGUUACAUCGUCUGAACAAGGACGACUCAGUCGACGCAGAUGAAUGAAGACUGAACCGAGGGAGUCGUGUUUCUACUGCCACACAAUCCGUUUCCUCGUUUUAUCGUCUUUAAGCAGAGAGUGAAAAGCUCCAUGAAUAAACUGCCUGUGUGUAAUAACGUGUGUGUUUCGUGAAUCAGCAGUGAUCUGUGUGUUUAUACUGUAAACCUUUAUACGGUUAGAGGUUGGUUUCUUCUUCCAUGUUUCCCCUGGUAACCCAGUGUUUAACGUCACAGCGCUAUGAUCUGUGGGUAAUUCCCUCAGGAAGAAAUGCUGACUGAGAAAGUAAAGAGGACGGUGGGACAGCAGAGUCCUCCUGGACCUGGACCUGUCUCCGGGUGCGUUGAUCCUCCCUGCUCCAUCACCUCAUCAUCUCGACUGGUUCUCCACUCACUCAUCACCUCAUGGUUCAGUCUGCCUGUGUGCUCUGAGCUCUUCCUGGUUCAGUAAACCGUCUUUGUUUAUCACACUCACAGAAAUAACCUGGUGUUUAUUUUGAGAGUGUGACUUUCACUUUUAUCAGCUCAUAUGAACUGACACUUGUUUGGUGUUUUGAUGAAUGUAUUCUGAUUCUGAUUCCCUUCACACAUCUCCACACCUCUGCUGUGGACUUUAACCAACGUGGUCCUGAACAGCUUAUAUAUUAUAUCCUCACACACAGCUGUCUAAAAUCUUUUUUAACAUUAAAAUAUGAGUCCAGCUGAAAUGCUGUGUCUCCAGCUGUCUUCACAUGUUGACUGCAGGUGCCUGUGUCCUGGCUGCUGCUCUGGUUUUCACCAGUAGGUGGCAGCAGAAGUCCUCACACUGCAGAGUGAGCUGUGCAGGAGAGGAAGUCGGGGUGAAAGGCUUCUAUCUCGCUCUGUUAUUGGGGUAAAUAUGAGCAGAAUGUCUCAGGUUUCCAAAGUAAAAUAAGGCUUUUACUGUGAAAAGUCGAUGAAGUGUUAAAGCAGAACUUCAGUGUUAAGUCAGGUAGUAAAACGUGAUGUGUUCAGGUGUUUUCUUCUACUUUCCUUUAGCACUGGGCAGAAUAACAUGACCUCUCAUUACUCAUCUGAAAACAGAGGACAUUCAACAUUUUAACACACAAGGUCAGAGGGGAAGCUCAGCUCUACAACCUCAGCCCUGCUGGAUGCUGACUGACACACACUGUACAAACAUGCUCAUCACUUUGUUUGGGAGGAAUGUGCAGUGAGAGAAUAAGGAGCACAACAUGCAGCUUUUAGUAAAAUAAAGAAAAAGAAGAAAGACAGAACAAACAGACGAAGCUUUGGAGUCGGAUUUACAGAUUUGGGAUUUCCACAGCUGCGGUGAAACCUUCUGUCGUUCGUGAAAUCAAAGUGAAGCGUUAUGUGGCUCAGGUCUCUGUUUACAUCUGAAAGCAGACAUAUUGAACCAGGAUCAGCUUUGUCUCUUGUGUUUUGCUAAAUGAGAUUAGUCUGUGCAUUUAAUCUGCUACUGACUCAUCAAAUCUCAUUUGUUCCCAAACAAGAGGGAAAAAUAAAUCAGCCUGUGUGGUGAGAUAAUCCUGUUUGUUUCAGUCAGUUCAGGAGUUUUCUUCCUCAAAUGCUGUGACAAUAAUCAUAAGAUAAAACAAGAACCCGGAUCAGGAAUCUGCCUGUGAAUCAGUAAAUGUGAAGAUAUCAUGUGUGUUGGUCCAGCAUCGUCUCUGCAGCAGUUGAAUAAAAACAGGAGAUGAAUUUUCUGCGCUGGAGAGCUGACAGCAGCAGAGAGGACAUCACAGCGCUCCAGGUCUGAAAUCUGUUCAGGGGAUCUCCUCUGAUCUGGGACUGGACUCACCAGAGAGUCUCCUUAAAACUUGGAAGCGUCCCUGAAAGUAUUUGGUGAUAGCUGGAAGUGUCUCCUGUCUGGACCAUCUGCCGGUAAAGAAACAUGACGUCUGACAUGAUGUUGUCAAGGUCUCUUUACCACAAAUAAACAUGAAGAAUAUGAGGACAUCUGGUUGAUCAAAUUAAAAUGUGUCCCUCAACUAACAGCACCAUCUGGACCACUGAGCUGUAAACUCGCUAAUUUAUGAUUUUAUUUCUUUUUUUUUUUCACUCCGCUCAAGUGAAUAAAUGCUAAAUCACUGCACAUUAAUUAAACACACGUUGUCACUUUUCCUGUGGCGCUUGGCUAAAGUGAUUCUGAAUGAAACGCAGGAUCAGAUCCUGAUCAAUCACAGAGGACUAUGGAGUGAAAAGAGCAUUAUUCAUGGCCUGGUUCCUUCCUGAGACACGCUCCCUCCUCUUAUUAUUAUCUCAUGUCAAACACAGGCACAACCUUCAAAAGCACAUUUGCUUUUUUUUAUUCUUCUCACUCGCUUUUUUCACCUUUUUUGUCAGGAACACUGAAGCACUGAAAUCUGCAGGAGAAACCACAUUAAUCUAGAUUUUACAGAAACACCUCGUGAACUACUGAAGGAAUAAUUCAGCAUCAGCAGUCUGAAACUUUCUGGACUCGAGACGUAGAUACAGACGAGAGGAAAACUGGGAACUUAAGGGAACAGCAAACCUGGAAACAUAAUCUGCACCUGAGAGGUAAACACCAUCAUUACUAUUCUUACUGUGUAAUGUGAGAUGCAAAUUCUAUUUUCACUCAUUAACAAACAUUAUUGUGACAUUUAGAAGAAAAUAAAACAUAAACAGGAGCACUGCAUCCAGACCAUUUAUUAGAUUUAUUAUCACGUCUCAGUCAAAAUGAGUCUUUACUUACUACCUUUCAAAGUUUCAACCAUCAUCUGAGGAAAAAUGUUUGUUUAAUUGCACAGUGAGAAAAAGGUUGUUGACAAUAAAACUUUAAUUUUAAU